rnacentral:lncRNA from 1 species
UUAGACCCCGUUCACACUAGGACAUUUUUAUCGAUUUAAACUAGACCGGUUCACUUUAGAUCGGUUAAAGGGCUAAUGUGAACGCUUUGAAUCGAUCUUCAAUCGGUCUUAACUAAAACACCAAAAGAGGUAGUUUAGUUUGAAUCGAUCUAAAGUAAACCGAUCUUACUUUAAAUGUGAACGCAGAGAUCGGUUUAAACUAGUACAAUUAAAUCGAAAAUAACGUAUGCGCAUGUAAAGCGGCAAAACUAUCUCAGAGGUUCGUUGUUAAACCCAUAUUUCUCUGUUAAAAGACCAUUAAAACAAACUGAAAACAUGUUGUACUCGCCGUAGCAUAGAUUUGCGAAAUCUGUGUCUUCUUUUCUUAUGUUGAUUUAUUUUCUUUGCAGGAACCGCAGAAUUUCCGGCGUCGUUUUGUAACUUCGUUGCUCCCAAUAUUUUGUUUUCAGAAUUAAAGAAAACUGCAAUAACACCAGUAUCAAAUUUUUAACUUGUGAUUCAAGAGAAACAAUAACUUUAUCCAAUUUUUUUUUCAAGUGUGUGUAUCAGUGUAUUAACACAUGAAUUUGACAAAUCAGUUCUAUUUAUACACAAUGUUUACAGUUUUACGGGUAAAAAGGAUAGAUCGAUUGCGUUUUUUAAUUGUAGUGUGAACGCAGUGGUUCAGAUUAGACCGAUAGAGAUCAUUAUGAUUAAAGAUAAUGUGGACGCUAACUGGUUUUAUUUAGAUCGAUUCAAAUUAGAUCGAUAAAAAAAAAUGCCAGUUUGAACGGGGUCAUAGACU